rnacentral:rRNA from 1 species
CAGCCGCCACGGUAAUACGUAGGGUGCGAGCGUUAAUCGGAAUUACUGGGCGUAAAGCGUGCGCAGGCGGUUUUGUAAGACAGAGGUGAAAUCCCCGGGCUCAACCUGGGAACUGCCUUUGUGACUGCAAGGCUAGAGUACGGCAGAGGGGGAUGGAAUUCCGCGUGUAGCAGUGAAAUGCGUAGAUAUGCGGAGGAACACCGAUGGCGAAGGCAAUCCCCUGGGCCUGUACUGACGCUCAUGCACGAAAGCGUGGGGAGCAAACAGGAUUAGAUACCCCAGUAGUCCCUGUCUCUUAUAC